rnacentral:hammerhead_ribozyme from 1 species
GCACUGCUGAAGAGUUUCACAACAGGACGAAACAGCUGUUCAGUGU